rnacentral:rRNA from 1 species
GACGAACGCUGGCGGCGUGCUUAACACAUGCAAGUCGAACGGAAAGGCCCUGCUUUUGUGGGGUGCUCGAGUGGCGAACGGGUGAGUAACACGUGAGUAACCUGCCCUUGACUUUGGGAUACUUCAGGAAACUGUGGCUAAUACCGGAUAGGAGCUCCUGCUGCAUGGUGGGGGUUGGAAAGUUUCGGCGGUUGGGGAUGGACUCGCGGCUUAUCAGCUUGUUGGUGGGGUAGUGGCUUACCAAGGCUUUGACGGGUAGCCGGCCUGAGAGGGUGACCGGCCACAUUGGGACUGAGAUACGGCCCAGACUCCUACGGGAGGCAGCAGUGGGGAAUAUUGCACAAUGGGCGGAAGCCUGAGGAAGCAACGCCGCGUGCGGGAUGACGGCCUUCGGGUUGUAAACCGCUUUCGCCUGUGACGAAGCGUGAGUGACGGUAAUGGGUAAAGAAGCACCGGCUAACUACGUG